AAAGAGUCUGCUCUGCAUUAUCCUCAGCCCCACAGCAUUUGUAACGUCACCAGUGUCAGCACAAUCUCCAACAUUUUUCCUUGCUGUGGUCCAGGAAGAAUUAUCUCUGUAGUUUCUUGUGCUUGCUGCUAUCUCCUCUUUUUCUCCAUUUCAGACACAGUGAGGUUCUUAUCUGGAGCGUGGUUCUGCAGCUACAGAUUUGCCUGAAUUCAGUGAGAUCGCUCCAAACCCUUUGGAGGAGCUCGAGCACCGAGGGGAAGGGAUGAUUUUAGUCAGAAAAGUUAUUUUCCAUCAAAAAAAGAAAAACUGAGGGGAUGUUUUCACCUGCCAGCAUGGGAAGCACAUGGAUGCUGGGAUGCAAGCAGGAGGGCAGGACCCUACAGUGGCUUCCACAACUCUCAGAGCAGCUGCAGCAUCCCCAGCACGGACAAGGCCAGGGCUGAGGAGUGGAAAAGGAGACAUUGGGCACGGGAAGCCACACAAAGCUGGUUUGUGCCAGAAAGGGCUGAUGUGUGUCACUGUCCCUGUUUUACCCAUCCCAGCGAGCAGGGUGAGAAUUCCCUCGGAAGCACAAGGGUCCAAGGAGAGCGGGGACAAGGACCUGGAGUGGCAGCUGCAGCACAGGAGAAGGUUUGGUCCAGCCUGGCACUGCCAGCUCCCCUCUCCUCCCUUCCCAAAAACACUCACCUGCAAGGAGGGUGAGGCUGCUAAUUAGAUAAUAACACUCAGGUUGUUUUAAACAGAACAACUGCUGUGCAAGGAGGAUUUAUUUCUUCGUUUUGCUGAGAUAUUUUUCCCCUUUGUGAGCGCUCCCAGAAAUAUCGUUGCAGGAUGUGCCUCUCAUUUUCCCGAGGAUUUUCUGAAGACCCCAGGGAACAGAACUCUAUUAGCUGAAGCAUCUUUCUGUCACAAGAGCCAGGUAGGAGACACAAAGGACCUCUGGAACUUAAACUUCUUUGGUGUUCUGCUCAACGCAGCUGAGCAAGAAUUUCUGCUGGCACCGAAGUUCUCACAGCUAGGCUGUGCUAUUUAAAACGGGAUUUCAUCCUAAUGAGCCUAAAAUAAAACUGUGUGUGUGGAAGGAGAUCUCA
rnacentral:lncRNA from 1 species